GUUUAAUUCAGCUAUUGGGAAGAAUACUAUCAAGGGAGUGGAGGUGGUAGAGUUGAAUGGGCCACGGAUUGCUUCCACUUCACUGUUCCCUUUCCUUCCUUCUGUUGCCACCCCUUCCUUGAAGAUACUCUUACUGAUUUUUGAUGAACGAGGAGACUGCGCAGGAGGGCGGUCAACGGCAGUGACGGAGUGGUGAUGGGCAGUGUUGUUUGAAGGGGCUUGGAUCUGUUCCGGAAGCCGACAGCCCCCACCUACCCCAGCUGUGGCCAGACUGGAGCAAGACCCAGAGCUGGCCGAGCCCUGCCUGGACCUUCCCUGGCUGGUCUGUCUGCAUCUGUCUUCCUGUCCUUCUGUCUCUCUGGAAUUCCUGUCAGAACAACUCUGUCAACUGGAGAGGCGGCUUUAAUGGGUCACCCACCCAUCCAACAGACCCAACCUUUGCCACAGGACCCAGGAGCCUUGGAAGGGACAGUACCACGGAUGGCUCCCGUCAUGCUUCAGUGAGAGCUUCGGGGUCGAAAGGAAAAGGCUGAGAAGGGGAGAAGCAGAGACCAGAGGCACAGGGUCGCUGGAAUGCAUUCCAUCGCCCUCUGGUUCCUUGAGAGCUCAUAGCCUUGCUCCUGGGGCGAAGGUGGGAUCCUGUGUGGGAUGUUCACACACGUGCGUGGAGAACAUGGAUCUGAUUUAACUGCAGCAUUUAAUUGUUGAAUCAGAGGAAAACCAUCUACAAGUUCCUAAUAUGUGAAUUUUAUUUAACAAAAUUAAAAAGCAUUUGCCUUGUGAAAAUUCUAUUAAUAUUUAAAGCCAAAUAACAAACUGGGAAAGAUGUUUGCAAUAUUAAUGGCAGAGUUAAAAACCCAGUAUACACAAGGCCUUUAUGAAAUGAAAGGAGAGCAGCUCACAUAGACUAAUGGACAAAUGAAAAACUUGCAGAAAAGAAACAGUGUGAUCAGCAACGUGUAAAAAUGUUGCUAAUGUUAAUGACUGUGAAUUAAAAAUGACGUGUCAGUCGCGGCUUCGUGGUGCACGCUUGCGACUCAACAGGCAGAUGGAUGCAGGAGGACUGAGAGUGUGAGCCCAGGCUGGGCAACUUGAGACCCUGUAUCAGAGUGAAAGAUAAAAAGGGCAGCAUAUAGCUUGUGCUAGAGCUCCGGCCUAGCAUUUCUGGGGCCCUGGGUUCAAUCCCCAGUCACACACACACACACUUGUGUCUUACCUAAUGAUGAAGAUAAACAGAUUGGUUAAAGAAAAAUGACAGUACUAGUUAAGGGCUAUAGAAAUGCCUUGUUAAUG
rnacentral:lncRNA from 1 species